CAACCGUGAAUCUUCUUCUUAUUUUUUAAAUUUUUUUCAACAGACAAUCUCAGUGAAUCGACACCCAACAACUCCCUCUCAUUUGCUCUUGAGUAAGCCGUGAACCAUUUCGAAAAGGAAGAAAAUCACCAAAGUGUGUGCUCGUCUCGAGGCGAACUGACCCAUUUUGUUGAGAUGCUAGAGUUAGUUGUGUUGGCCAAGUGUGAUUUGCUUUCACCUCUUAUGUCAAGGUUGGUCUAUAAUUUGGCUCGUAGCAUAUAUGAAUCUACUAAACUUUAUUAUUAUGUUUUGUCGUAAUAUUCAUACUCUCUGUAUUUUCAGUGGACGGAAAAACAUAACUUUA